CUCAAACCCACCCAAAAAAAACUAAACUAGUGGUGGUCAUAAUCCAGGAGUACCAUGUGGUCGGAUCGUAGCCCUUCCAAAAAGUCGAGACCCCACCACCAGUAUUUGAUCCUGUGACCUUCCCUCCAAAAGAGCCACAGAGGUAUCAUCUGAGAACAAAGGUCUUGGCUAGUAUGCAGUGAUUAUUAUUACAUAAUAAUUUGUAAAGUUAAAUAAUUAACAAUAAUUUGUAAUUACUGUAUAGUAAUAAUAAAAAAUAGUUAUUUAAUUAUUAGGAAUCAUAAAAGUAAUAAUUACAUAAUGGCUUUUUUUUUGGUACUUAGAUGUAGUAAUUAUUCUUUAGUUGUAUUAUAAUAAGAUAAAAUAAUUUAUAA